UACGUAGGGUGCGAGCGUUGUCCGGAAUUAUUGGGCGUAAAGAGCUUGUAGGCGGUUUGUCGCGUCUGCCGUGAAAAUCCGAGGCUCAACCUCGGACUUGCGGUGGGUACGGGCAGACUAGAGUGUGGUAGGGGAGACUGGAAUUCCUGGUGUAGCGGUGAAAUGCGCAGAUAUCAGGAGGAACACCGAUGGCGAAGGCAGGUCUCCGGGCCACUACUGACGCUGAGAAGCGAAAGCAUGGGGAGCGAACAGG
rnacentral:rRNA from 1 species